CGCGGGAUGGAGCAGUUCGGUAGCUCGUCGGGCUCAUAACCGAGGUCGGUGGUUCAAAUCCGCCUCCCGCAA
rnacentral:tRNA from 1 species